AGGACAACGCUGGCGGCGUGCCUAACACAUGCAAGUCGAGCGGAGAUACAUUGAAGAGCAAUCAGAUAUGUAUCUUAGCGGCGGACGGGUGAGUAACGCGUGGGCAACCUGCCUCAUACUGGGGGAUAACACAGGGAAACUUGUGCUAAUACCGCAUAAUAUCAUUAUAGGGCAUCCUGUGAUGAUCAAAGGAGCAAUCCGGUGUGAGAUGGGCCCGCGUCCAAUUAGCUAGUUGGUGGGGUAACGGCCCACCAAGGCGACGAUUGGUAGCCGAACUGAGAGGUUGAUCGGCCACAUUGGGACUGAGACACGGCCCAGACUCCUACGGGAGGCAGCAGUGGGGAAUAUUGCGCAAUGGGGGAAACCCUGACGCAGCAACGCCGCGUGAAGGAUGAAGGUCUUCGGAUUGUAAACUUCUUUGAUGAGGGACGAACACAAUGACGGUACCUCAAAAACAAGCCACGGCUAACUACGUG
rnacentral:rRNA from 1 species